UGGAGCUCAACAAAUUGGCAUACCUCAGUAAUGGCGAAUGAACUGGGACAUGCUCAGUGCUGGAAUGGAGGCGUCAGCCUCUAACUGUGCUGCUGUGGUGUACAGCUUGCAAGGAUGUAGGUUUGAGCUUCUUGGAAAAGGGCGCCGCUGAGGGUGAGAGUCCCUCAUUUCACCUACUGUCCUGCAGGAAUGGCGUAUCUUCCAAGAGUCGCGUUCUUUGGGACUGGAGCGCAAUGGGGUGGUAAGCUGCAUCUAGAGCUGAACAAACGCUUGAGGCCAAUAGCGGACAAGUACUGUGAGGGAAAGGUGAAAAGGACUUUGGAGAGAGAGCUAAAAGUUCCUGAAAUCACUGUGGGCGAAGUGAGUUGGGCUGCUAUGUUGGUGAGAUUGCUUUGUGGCAUGUGCACUGGCUCUUGCACUCACUCACGUGAGAUCUUGGGGUGAGCGUGCAGCUUGCGCGGUGUGUCUCAUCAGGAAUGUCGUCAGCAGUUGCUCCUCAAACACGUCCACAAGCCUUGCCAGCCGACUUCGUGCCAGCUGCGUGCUUGCCCUGUUUGACUGCAAAUUGCUUGACGCCUUUUAGGACAACCCAACUCAUCCCGUCUUGAAACACGGACCAAGGAGUCUAGCAUAUGUGCAAGUGUGCCGGUUUGCAGAAAUCUGGCUGCAAAGUCAAGGGCGACUGCCAGGCAAUGCGCACUGGCAACCAACUUAGCACCAGGGCAAGGUUUGAGUGUGAGCACAGGUGCUAGGACCCGAAAGAUGGUGAACUAUGCCUGUGCAGGGCAAACUCAGGGGAAACCCUGAUGGAGGCAUGCAGCGCUACUGACGUGCAAAUCGUUCGUCAGACAUGGGUAUAGGGGCGAAAGACUAAUCGAACCAUCUAGUAGCUGGUUCCCUCCGAAGUUUCCCUCAGGAUAGCUAGGGUAGAGCAGUUUUGUCAGGUAAAGCCAAUGAUUAGAGGCAUUGGGGAUGUGCCAUCCUUGACCUAUUCUCAAACUUUAAAUGGGCAAGAGCCAGUGGUUGCUUCAUUGAACCCUUGGGACAAGUGGGGACUCUAAGUGGGCCAAAUUUGGUAAGCAGAACUGGCGAUGAGGGAUGAACCUAAUGCUGACUUCUGGUGCCCAACUGCUAGCUUAUUGGAUACCACAAAGGGUGUUGGUUCAUUUGAACAGCAGGACGGUGGUCAUGGAAGUCGAAAUCCGCUAAGGAGUGUGUAACAACUCACCUGCCGAAUGGACCAGCCCCGAAAAUGGAUGGCGCUGAAGUAGGUGACGCAUAGUCAGCCAUUGUUGUGCUCCUGAAAGCAAUGAUGAGUAGGAGGGCAUGGGGACUUGUGGCGAAGCUCCUGCGCAAG
rnacentral:rRNA from 1 species